UACGUAUGGAGCAAGCGUUAUCCGGAUUUACUGGGUGUAAAGGGUGCGUAGGUGGCAGUGCAAGUCAGAUGUGAAAGGCUGGGGCUCAACCCCGGAGCUGCAUUUGAAACUGCUCGGCUAGAGUACAGGAGAGGCAGGCGGAAUUCCUAGUGUAGCGGUGAAAUGCGUAGAUAUUAGGAGGAACACCAGUGGCGAAGGCGGCCUGCUGGACUGUUACUGACACUGAGGCACGAAAGCGUGGGGAGCAAACAGG
rnacentral:rRNA from 1 species